rnacentral:lncRNA from 1 species
GUGGAUGGGCUUGGCAAGAAACCAUCUCUCAACAUUCCCAAGUUAGAGUGUUUGCCUGAACCGGUGCCUGAAGCUGAACCAUAGUCAGAAUCUCUGACCUUCACAAGCAAACAGGAAACAUGUACAGGAUUUGAGAGGGAAAAAAAAUCAACUUUGGAUUUUGUUGAAAUGGUCAAAAACCAUAUACUAUACCUUCAAGCUGGAAAGAUAAUCCUUCAUCUUCAGGUGUCUUUUGUGGAAGACUACCAAAUGAAAGUGCCCUUUUAGAGGUGAAAGAAUAUGUGACAACAUUGAGUGGCACCUUCCAUCUAAGAUUGUCACAGUAAAGAAUGUGACAGAGGAGACUGUGGAAGACACGAUGAAAAAUAGUACAGCUUUAAGUAGAGCUAAUCUCAGCAUGUUUUUGUGCACCUGAGUGACUUCAAUAAGCAUGUCUCUCAUGCAAAUUUGGAAGCAUAGUUGGUGAUUCCUAGGAGGAUUCAGACGAAAAUGAUUUUCAGGUGCCCAUGGGAAACAGUUCCCAAUGCAGUCUUCAUGGGCAUUUUUGACCAAAUGUGAACAAAAUCUCUCCUUGGAACGGGAAGAUCACUGAAAACACUUGCCAUGAAUCUAAAGUAUUUUUAGUGGCAUGAUUUUAAUUUCAUCUCUUGAAGAUUUUAUCAUCGCUGUGGAAUUUUAGAUCUCAGAGAUGACAUUUCCUAAAAGAUGUUCCAGGUAAAAGAAGCAGAAAGAACAAAAUAUAACUAUGUACUAUGUACAAAAAAAAAGGAUUUUCUCAUUUUUAGGCCCUUAUGAAACAUAUUUUCUACCUGUAUCGUUCUAGAAGAUCCUUCCAGAGUCCCAGGGAGACCUUUGCCUGCAUAUAAGUAUAGAGGUUAGAUAAAACAUGUACUCAACUAUAUGAAACAUUUUAGGCCAAGAUUUUCAAUCCCUUCUUAGAUUUCAAGAAUCCAUAUUCCCAAAGGUUGUUUUUUUCAUUCUUAUCAUUACAUCCUUUAUUAUUUUUUUGAUUCUUUAUCCUUUUCAAAGACAAAAUUCUUCAAAUUUCAACUUAAAAUGAACCAGCAAAGGAUUGAUUCUAGAAAAUUGUGACAUUGGUGAAGCUUUUCUUUGUCUCUCCUACCCUUAAGCUAUCCACUGUUACAUUUUCCUUCAAAAGCUUUAGCUAUUGAUUUCUGUAAACUUCU